rfam:Aedes albopictus isolate Foshan contig146885, whole genome shotgun sequence.
UAGCCUAGUGGUUAAGGCUAUGGAUCGCCAAUCCGCAGACGGCGGGUUCGAUUCCUGU